rnacentral:rRNA from 1 species
AGUGAACGCUGGCGGUAGGCCUAACACAUGCAAGUCGAACGGCAGCACAGUAAGAGCUUGCUCUUACGGGUGGCGAGUGGCGGACGGGUGAGGAAUACAUCGGAAUCUACUUUUUCGUGGGGGAUAACGUAGGGAAACUUACGCUAAUACCGCAUACGACCUACGGGUGAAAGCAGGGGAUCUUCGGACCUUGCGCGAUUGAAUAAGCCGAUGUCGGAUUAGCUAGUUGGCGGGGUAAAGGCCCACCAAGGCGACGAUCCGUAGCUGGUCUGAGAGGAUGAUCAGCCACACUGGAACUGGGACACGGUACAGACUCCUACGGGAGGCAGCAGUGGGGAAUAUUGGACAAUGGGCGCAAGCCUGAUCCAGCCAUACCGCGUGGGUGAAGAAGGCCUUCGGGUUGUAAAGCCCUUUUGUUGGGAAAGAAAAGCAGCAGGUUAAUACCCCGCUGUUCUGACGGUACCCAAAGAAUAAGCACCGGCUAACUUCGU